GGGAACUUGCAUGAUCAAGCCUGCGUAGAAAAAAUUGAUGACGAUGUUGGUGCUUCUGAUUCUCCAUCUACACCUAUCGAUUUAAGUGACAGUGCUAUGGUUAGAACACAAGUUGGUGCUUCUGAUUUUCCAUCUACACCUGUUGAUUUAAAUGAUAGUGAUAUGGUUAGAACACAAGGUGCUGAUCGUGGAUUAGAUAUUCAAAUCUCCAGUAAGGAGGUUACAUCUGUCCAAUCCGAUGUGGAGAAGAAGCUUCCUGAACCUACCACAAAAUCGAUCGAGCCUACUAAGUGUGACGGGAACUUGCAUGAUCAAGCCUGCGUAGAAAAAACUGAUGACGGUGUUGGUGCUUUUGAUUCUCCAUCUACACCUGUCGAUUUUAGUGAUAGUGCUAUGGUUAGAACACAAGGUGCUGAUUGUGGAUUAGAUAUUCAAAUCUCCGGUAAGGAGGCUACACCUGUCCAAUCCAAUGUGGAGAAGAAGCUGCCUGAAUCAACCAAAAAAUCGAU
rnacentral:lncRNA from 1 species